rnacentral:lncRNA from 1 species
GAAAGAAAUCGAAAAAUUGUCCGAAGCUGAUGGGAGUGGAAACUAUCCAGACGGUGUCGUAAAAAUCAACAAAAACAAAAAGCGUGUGAUUUAUUCGUAUUGGAAAGAUAUAGAUGAAGAUGUCAUUGGAAUGAAAGACGCAUCAGAAUAUCAUUUGGUAGUGGCAGCACUCAUAGCAACAGUAACCUUUGCUGCGGCAUUCACCUUACCCGGUGGUUACAAGAGUGAUACUGAAGAUGGCCCAAACAGGGGCACUGCAAUUCUCAAUAAAAACGUAGCUUUCCAAACAUUCGUUAUAUCAGACACUAUAGCCAUGGUCCUCUCACUUUCUGCUGUUUUUGUCCAUUUCAUUCUGUCACUUAAGUUUUUUAAAAAACUCAUCUUUUUAUUCGUUUUUGCUCUUUGCUUCACCUUAGUUGCCAUGGCGGCAAUGAUAGUAGCAUUUGUUACGGGCACAUAUGCAAUGCUGGCAACACCUUCUUUGUGGCUUGCCAUUGUUACUUGUAUCAUUGGCUUGACCUUCUUCCUCUUGGUGAUUUUCAUGUUUUACAUGGUUAUUUCAAAAGCAGAGGAAAAGUUAUUGUAUACCUCUCUCUAGUACUAUAAUUAUGUUAGCAUCAUCCCACUGUUAUGAUCUGGAGUUAUAAGUUGUGAUUGAAAUUUGUUACACUAUCUUAUUUGGUGUAUUGCUUCAAGGUUGUAAAACGUACUAAGAGCUUGAAAGAAAUGAUAUCAUCUAUUUAUGAUGCAGGAUUAGUUGUUGCAUAAGCAUUCCAAAUUAAUUUUAAUCAGGGAUCUUCACCGGCGGAAUGAGUAUUAGUUAUUCGAAUGGGUAAUGUUUCUUCUUAGCCUAAUUAAGUGGAGAAACAAAUUUGAUAUUUCAAAUUGUGAAGAGCUUUUUUCUUUUGGAAAUUCUACCAUCAAAAUCAAUUAUAGAAUUCGAAAAAUAUUCUAGUUUUGCAAUGUCUACAGUCUACUUAUGAAUUGCAUAAAGGAUAGAGCUGCAGACCUGCAGUUAGACAUAAGUUGACAAAGUUCGUACGAACGUACAGCCAGAUUCCAACUGCUAAUUUACACUUGCAUCUAAAUUUAAAAAUCAGCUAAUUACAAACCUGAUAACCAGCUGCUAACAGUUUCCACUUUCAAGAGCUUGAGAAGGUCAACUGAAAAUUGCAAGUAUUCAAAUGGUGAUAAAAAAGAGAUUCUUUUGAUAUGUUAUCCAGGUGCAAAAAUAAAAAAUGUCGCUUGAUGAUGAAGUAAAAGAACUAAAACCGCCGCAACAAACUGUGGCGGCCACACUCGUAGCAACAGUUACCUUAGCUGCGGGGUUCAUAUUACCCGGUAGUUACUGGGCUCAAGAAGGCCCAAUUCCCAGCACUCCAAUUCUCAGAAAAAAUGCAGCUUUUCAAGCAUUUGUUCUAGCUAAUGCCAUGGCCAUGGUCCUCUCCCUUUCAGCUGUCUUUUAUCCAUUUCCUUACUUCAACUAAGACCCUUCGGCAAAUGACGUUUCUUGUCAAUGUGGCUCAUUGUUUCAUCCCGGCUUCCAUGUUAGCAAUGACGGUUGCAUUUGUUACAGGAACAUCCCCAGUGUUGGCACCUUCUGUUGGGCUUUCCGUUGCUACUUGUGCCUUGGCUUGACCUUCAUCCUCUUUGUGCUUUUCGCCAUGUUCAAGUUUGCUUAUGGAUUGGCGCAAAGGUUGCUGGUGAGCUUCAUCCUCUUUGUGCUUUUCGCCAUGUUCAAGUUUGCUUAUGGAUUGGCGCAAAGGUUGCUGGGCUUCAUGAUAUAAUUAGAAAAAAAAAAAUCUCCAUGUUGGAGAAAUUAGCAUGUUUCUGUCUCUGUUUCUAGUAGUUAAUAUGUAAUUUCCAUCUCUUCAAUCUUUAUUCUCAGUGUUAUAUAUUAUGUGUAUACACCACUACAACUGAGAUUGUACCUAAUCCUCUUUUGUGUUGAGCUAUUAUCAUCAAAAGAGGAUUAAGUACAAAUACAAGGUCAACAUGAAAUUGAAAGUAGCAUAUUAGCAUUUCAACAUUAGUAAUUAAUUAAAAUACUUUUUAUAUUGUAUUGGUGAAAACUCUGUAAUAUAAGGGUAAUAUAAUCAAUUUUAUCAAGUGUUAAUGUGUUAGGAGCUUAUUUACAAAUAGAUAAUAAUUUCUAAAAGAUAUGCAGUGAGUCUAGUUUUAGUACUCUAUUCUCAUAAACUUUUCCUUCUCUGAUUCCACCUUUUUGAAUUCUUGAACUUGGGCUGGCUUAUGGUAUCGAAACUGAAUAAACUUACUAACAUAGACUCAAUUGCAAGUCUCAAAUCAUUUCUUUUUCUAAUUUGUAUAACCAAAAUUUUGUAAAAAAUAAAGCUUAUAUAAAAUAAUCAUACGUUUUCAUUGCAUCUUGAUACAAAUUGUUUCUUAACAGAAUGAUUGAGAAAAUAUAUAAGAGACAAUAAUGAAAUUUUCAAUUUUCAAAUUAGGGAAUUGCAAAUUGCAAUGCUGAGACAGCAAAAUAGCUUAGGUAAAUCAAUAUGCAACAAAACAAAAGAUAAUAUCCAUCAUUUCUAUUUCUAAUAUACUGAGAAACUAGCCUUCUAGGCUUAUAUAAUCGUAGCAGCUACAUAUUCAUAAGAUAUUUUUAAAAAAUAAUAAUAAUUUAUAUAAACAUCCUGUUGCUUAUACUGCAAGCAAAUGCAAGUCCAUUCACUACACCUGCAUAAUAUGUACAAGCAUUUACAAGUUAAUAUCAUCAGUUCCAUCCCGACCAGAUAAUGAAACUGGUCCAAGUGAUUCACCUUCUACUCUACCAAAUACCAAAUAUUUCUUUUUUAGAUUUCUCCCUUCGUCAAUCCAUUGCACUGCAGUCACCAAGAACUGGACCACUAAGCCAUUCCCUAUCUUUGCUUCUUGUUCAUUUGGGAAGAAUGGUUGUUCCCUAGGUUAACAUAGCAUACUUCACAGGACCACACCGCAAUAUGAAUAACUCCAUGCAAGAUUUCUCCCUUGACAGGCAAGAAAGUGCGACACAGAAAUGUUACAGGGAAGAACACAACCCUUGACUCAUUCACAGUUCCUCGCUCUCUGUCGAUGCUCUUCAAGUUAGUUAUUGAAAGAAAGUAACAGUGAUCCUUGCAAGCCUUCUCAUUUAUCAAGCCCUUCAACAGGCGUGUUACAAAUAUCACUGAAGAACCUGCAACUCGUUUCUAUCCAAACUUUUAGCAGGCACUGAUACAUCCUGAGCAAUUCCACUUCGAAAGACAUUUCUCCUCUACAUCAAAACAACUAAAAUAAGUAGGACUAUUAUAGAUUAACCAACCAGAAUUCUUCCAGAUUCUAUGCAUAUCAAUGCUGUUAAGAAAUCUAAUAGAAAAGAUGAACAAUAAUACAAUGAUGCUGAUACCAGUGUAUGCAUCCCCAAUUGCGCCAUGACCUGGAGGUUAAUUUUAAAGCUAAUCAAGAUUUUAAACUUAGUAUCGUAUCCAUAAUACAAUCCACAAAAAUCGAAGAACAAACCAAUAAAAAGGUUGUACCAAAAAGAGAUAAAUAACUAAAGGAUCAUUUUCAGUUACAUUGCGAAUGCUAUACAUUUUGAACAGAAUAAUUUAUUCCUAUCAACACAUCAGUGUUUCUUAUCAUUACACACAUCAGUAAUCUAUUUGGUUGUAUACAUACCUUCUCUUGCGUAUUGACUCAUGUUAGAUAUCUGAAGUAAUUUAUGCUAGCUAGCUCUUCAGUAACACCAAAAACAGCCAAAAGUACCAGCACUCUCUGCAGCUAACAUGAAAAAGAACUCAACAUUACCAACAAAAAAUUUCAAAAUUUGGAGGAAUGUAAACAAGUAUCAUAACCAUUUCUAAAGAUCCUAUUUCACAACAUUCACUAUAAAGGCCUACACAAUAUAGCAAGUGACUAGGAAUAAAUAAGAAUAUAGAACUCUCUCUCUAAUUCUCACUCUAGCUUUUAAUUGUCACUCAAAACCCCGAAUUUAUCCUUAAAAGUGUAAGCAAAUCAGAGAUGACAGCGUCUGGUUGUCAUACGCGCCUUUUAGUUUCCGGAUGACAUGGCGUACACUUCUUAUGUAAACCCAACACGACAUGUCGUACUCUUUGUUUUGAGAUCAUAUUUCAAACUCUUCAUGUUAUGAAUGAAACAUAAACUACAAUCAUCAAAACAUUUAGUGUUUAUUUGGUAAUGUAACGUCACGAUUGUUGUGAAUUGAAAUUAUUUCUGUAAAAUAAAAGGAUUUGGGUCAUUGUUUGUUAUUUUCUGGUAUUAUUUAUUAUAUAUUAAAAAUAAAUUUAUAUUUAUUAAGUAUAAAAAAUAAAUAAACAAAUAGAAAUAAAAGGAAAAGUUUAUACAUUACGUAAAAUAAUAAGAACAAUAUCAAUAUUUCACACUCUAUAAUUGAGUGAUGUGUUGUCCAACUGCCAUACAUUGGUCCCAAACGGAGACUUAAAUAUCAAAGUCCACAGUUAUUGUGAUGAUGAUUUAUAAUCGUUAAACUUGACAUUAUAAGGUAAUCAUGCAUUAUAAGGUGUUGAUUUCUUCCGGAACCUUAUUUUUCAUUUACAAAUAAAUAAAUGAUGUGACUUUCACAGAAUAUUCAUGCAAAAAACAAAAAACAAAAUAUCAUAACUGAAUUUCAAAUUGUCAAUGUUCUAUAAUAUAAAACAAAAAAUUUGUUUUUAAAAAAAAAAGAAAAAGAAAAAGAAAAGACCUCUGUUACAUGAAAAAGAAAUUUCCAUUCUAUAGAACGAAUAUUAUACUUUUAUAUUAGAAUAGAAGGACACUUUUCCUUGGUGCUACUCCAUGUAGUUCUUAAAAUUCGUACUUUAAUUAAUGUCAGUAAGUAAUAUAGGAUUUUUACAUGUAAUAGUUUUGUAAGUUUAGGAGUAAAACUUGGUCACAAUAGGACUGGACAAGUCUUGUGUUAAUAUUUUACUCUUUUUUAUUUUACUUUUAAAAGAUUUUCCAAUGCAUAUUAUAAUAUCUUCAAAAUAUUUUGAUUUCUAUUUUCUUUUCAGUUAAGAAGCUGAUAAUAUUUAUAUAUCUAAUUUCUCUGUUUUUAUAAUUUUAUUUUUUUAUUCAUUUUUUAUAAUCCAAAUACUAUUACCUUAGAUAUUUUUCCCCGCCACAGAUAACGUAGCCAUGCCAAAAUAGUCUUGAGAAAUAUGUCAGCGUCUAAUUGCUGCUGAGCUUCCGAAACCCAAAGCCUCAAAUUCGUAGCCUCAAAACAGUGGCAAUUCGAUGCCUGCUUUUUCACUAAAUUUAGUUUUUGCGCAGAAGAUCUUUAGCUAAUUAAUGAUAUGGCUCGAGUCCCUAGUCGCCAGUUCUGCCCAGCAACAGCCAUAUUCGAUUCGUUUCAAUCAUCCUUUUCAAAGUUCCACGGUACCCAUUUUCAUUUCUUCAGGUGCGGUUACACAAUUCCUCUUAAAAAUAAUUUCUUUUAUAAAAAUUCUUCUUCAAACUCUGCCCAUGAAAAAAACCCGCCAAGAAAAAUUUGUUCUUUAUCCAGGAAUAAAUUUUUUUUUUCUCAACAUGAUAAAGAUGAGAAUGCCAACUUAUGUUCUAGCAGCAGUUGGUUAGAUAAAUGGAACAAACCCAAUAAGUAUAACCGCCUGAAACCGCCUCAGGCACGCGUGAAUUAUAGAAAAAAUAAUGGUAAUGGUGUUGGUGGCGUUGAUGAUGGUGGUAGUACCAUGGGGAAAAUUGUGGAGAAACUGAAUAAAUUUGGUUACGUUGGUGACGGUGAUGGUGAGUGCAAGGAAAAGAGAGAGUGAUUGAAAAAGGGUCUAGAGAGGAUAUAUUUUGUUUGGAAAAAGGAUUGUUGCCGAAUGCAGGAGGGUGGUUUUCAAAAGAAUCCCCGUUGGGGUUAGGAGAGGAGGUAGGGAGUGACGGAGAAGUGAAGUUUCCAUGGGAGAAGCGGAAGGGAAGAUUUAUGUUACAAAUUUGUUUAAAAAUGUAUAUAUUGAUGCAUUCACUGCAUUUCUUUUUAACUUAAUUUCAAUUGAUCGUAUAUUACGUUGCAUUACGAUCCAAAUUGCUUCUUCAGAAAAUUAGUGAGAAAUUAUGAAAGAAAAAAUAAUUUAAUUUGCUUUCCAAUUCUAUUUUUUUCCCCAAAAUCAAGGCAAAUUAUGUGAGGCUCAAAAUAUUAUUUGUUUUGCCGUGAAAUUUAGAAACAAAAAAAAUACCUGGACAGAUACCGAGCACCCCACGCCUCAUUCACAGUGCGCAGGAAGAAGUUUGACUGCUGGGAAUACGAGAGGUAUGGAAUUGACCCUUGGCCGAUAUCCUUCAAGUUGGUCACUGCAAGAAAGAAAAUUUUUAGAAGGGAGUGCUAAAAUCUGAUUAUGAAUUGUUUAUAUGUCAUUUUUACCCUCUUUGAUUUUUCCUAAUCCCAAAAUAACCUUGCGUCAAUAUUUAAAUUUAAUUACCUUAUUAACUAUGAAAUAUUUAUUUGAAUUUUAGAAGACAUCUGUUGUACUAUGUCAGUCAUGCAAGUAUUAAAAUAAUAUCAUGAUAUGUGUGUAUUUAUUUUGUAAAUCAUCAUAUAAGUGAUGGUUGUAUUAAAUUCAAUUACACAUGUCAUGCAUGCAUCAAUUAAUUAUAAUACAACGGAUGUAUUCUAAAAAUUUUCCCCAAGAAGAAAGAGAAAGGGUGUCAACGGAGUUCGUGCAACGGAUACUCGAAAUGUGUCCAUCAUUGCUACUAUAAGUUAAUGACAAAGGUGAUUAAUAUUUUGUGAUAUUUAAUUACAAAAUAUUAAAUAAAUAUUAUAAUCUAUCAUUCCAUAAUUGGAAAAUUCUAUGAUGCCGUAAUUAAAUUUACGGCAUUGAUGCCGUAAUAGACGUGGACCGUUAGAUUAAAUCAACGACUCUAAAUAAUUAUAAUUUAAUAAAAAAAAUUAAUUAAAUUACAUAUAACCGGUUACAAGUCGGUUAAAUAUUAUUUUAAAAGUAAAAUUUUACCGGUUUAAAAUUAAAGAAAGGGGGUUUGCCUAUUACAAGAAUAAUAUAAUAUAAUGGGAAAAUUCAAUCCCUAAUCAAUGAAUUGCAAACGAAAGCCACACCCACCCCUGCGUAAACUUCCGUUCGAGUGCGCCGGUAGAUUGUAGCCAUCCUUGAGCCAAUUUUCUGCCUUCCAACUGCUGCGUCUCUGUUGUUGCUGUCUCUGUCCUGGUUUGUUCAUCAUCACUUGUGCAAGGUAAGUUAAUCCUUGGCUUCCAACUUUGAAGAGUCGAAGGUUUCAUGUUAUGCUAAGCAAUUUAGUUCCAGAUCUCUCAUUCAAUUUUAUAUUAUCUGAUAUAAUAUUCCUUCUGUGCACAAUUUUGCAUCUUUACUCUGUUUUCGUCCUCGGGCAUGAUGUGUGAGAGAGAGAGAGGAGCACAGAAACUAUAGAAUGAAUUUUCUGUUUUUUCAUCAUCUCUCUCUCCUCUUCUUUUAACUCUCAAUGCCCGCAGAAUUAAGCCAACAUCAAUAAUCAUGUCCUCUUUCCACAUGGCAUCUGAACAUAUGACCCUAUAAUGAUCAAUUUUAGGAUGUGGAUGUGCACGGCAGAUUUUUUCCACUUGCUUCACUCUGUUGUAUUUUAUGAACACUUGGUGUAUGACACAAAGUUGAGACCCUUUUUCUCCAAUGAUUGAUCUGAAUUGAUUUUUUUGAAAAUCAGAUGGAAUUCUUACACAAGAUGGAGAAAAUAGUAGCUUCAAAGAUUUAGAAAUUAGAAAAUUGACACCAAGGUGAAAAAAAUUAUUUAAGCUUUAUUAUUAGAAAUUUAUUUACAUUACAGCUGUAUACAUGGGAUUGAAUGGAAAGAGCCGCAUACAAAAUUGAAGAGACUGCUUUUGACUGUCUCACAAAUUAAUAUUUGCUUCAACUUGGGAGAAAAUAAUGACCAGUUAAUGAAUCAACAAGAUGAUCAAUUGUGGCAAGAAUGUAGAAGCCGCUGCCAUUUUAUGAACAAUUCAAAGUUGAAGUUAAGCUGACGAAGUAUUCUUCACUGCAUGGAAUUGUCAGACCGCCCAUCGGAUGAUCAAAUCCAAAUUCUUCUUCAGCCAUAUUUAGGAGGUCUUGGAAUAGAGGGUGAUUCAAAUAUGAUAUUGGAAUUACAAACCUCUUUCUAUAGCCUUCUCCAACAUAAAUUGCAAUGUGGCCUUUUGGCACAUUAUUUGUAUUGUUAGCCACAGCCAUUCUGAUCUUUGCUGAUAAAGUUCUCUGAAUCUUUUGUUUAGCAUGAGCGAAACCCAUCAAUUGGAUGCCCAUUUUAGCAAUGAAAGAAAGAAUGCUAUUGAUGAAGUAAAAGAAAAGUUUAUUUGGUUUGAAAUGGCAUCUUUAAUUAAUAUAAAAUAUUUAUAGGCAGAUAUGUGAAAACAAAAACAACCUUAACUGGAUAGGAAUGGGACAAUGAGAGGUCGUUGAAGAAUCAUGAGAAAAACAUAACAGGUGAAAGAAUUGGUUAUGUUUCACAUGGUAUUGCCAUGUCUAUGGUUAAGCAUUGUGCCCACCACAUAGAGAAACAAAAAAGAUAGGGAUGCAAUUUGUGUUUUUGCAUGAGAAUAUAUAUUUUCCUGUGUUAAUUUGAACUAAUUCUAUGGCUCUAUUUCGAAUACAUUUUAGUUUAUUCAUAGAAGCAUUGAAUUUAGCUGACUACGUGUGUUAUUUAAAUCGUGGGCCUUUUUUUUGGGUGUUAACUAGCCAACCAGCCAUUUCUUUGGGUCCCUACCAUUUGCCUAAACUGAUUUAAUUUGUCCGAACUUGCAUUUAUUGGCUGCUUUAUAUCAGCGAAACAUGAUUCUUCUUAGGGAAAAUUCUAUGAUGCCGUAAUUAAAUUUACGGCAUUGAUGCCGUAAUAGACGUGGACCGUUAGAUUAAAUUUUUAUGGUGUUUUGGGCUUCAUUUGUUGCUGUUUUUAGCUUAAAUUUUUUACUGUUUCUGGGUAAAUUGGCUGCUGUAUUUCAAUUUAUUUUUCUGUUGUUUUUAGAUAAAUUUACUGCUAUUUUUGGGUUAUAUUUUCUGCUGUUUCCAGGGAAGUAUUUUUGGUGUUUUGGGCUUCAUUUGGUGCUGUUUUUAGGUUAAAUAUUUUACUGUUUCUGGGUAAAUAUACUGCUGUUUUUGGAUAAAUUUACUGCUGUAUUUGGGAUGAUUGGCUGCCGUUUUUGGUUAAUUUUUUUGGUGUUUUGGGCUUCAUUUGCUACUGUUAUUAUGUUAAAGUUUCUGCUAUUUCUGGAUAAAUUGGCUGCUGUUUUUCAGUUAAAUUGUCUGCUGUUUUUGGAUAAAUUUAUUGCUGUUUUUGGGUUAAAUGUUCUGUUGGUUUAUAGGAUCCAAAACUUGUGAUAUUUGACAUUUCUUUUUGUGCCUAAAUCUUCAUGUACAGGUUUUUGUAAACUCGAAAAUGGCUGAAAAUGUAGAUGAGGGUAACGAGAAUGAUUUCAAGGAGAAUGAUAAUGUGAGCCAAGAAAGUGAAAUUUUAAGAAGAAAUCGGCCUUUCAUUGAGUAUUUGUAAGUCUUCUUACAUUAAAUAUUAUAUUUUUGACUGCUGGUAAAUUUAUGAAUAUUUAGUAAAGCCAAUCACUAUAAUGUUAACGUGCACUGAUUAUAUAUAUUUUUUCAAAAUAUUUAUAAUUGACUGCAGCAAGCAAGAAGCAAAAAUAUUACGGGAACAAGGAAAAAAAGUGGUGAGUGUAGGUGCGAUAAUUAAUUUCCAUUAAAUUUGGGACGUGUUACAAGCAAUAACUGAUUGUCAUUUUUUUUUAAUUUUUUAGGAUAGAAUUAAAUUAGGGAAAUGUUUCAAAAACUUGAGUGAAGAAGAGAAGGCUAAAUUUAGAAUGGUUGGUAGUGAUACAGCACGGAAUAAAGACAAAGAAGAUGAUUUCGUGAAGGGAACUCAGAAAGCCAUGGAAACUAGAUGCGCUCCAGAUCGUUUUGCAAAACUGGUAGGAAAAUUGUCAGAAAAUAAAAAAAAAGCUAUUGCGGAGUUGGGAUUUGAAAGUCUUCUGCACAUAAAAUGUGGUCGACUGAAACGAGAUUUAUGUUCAUGGUUGGUUCAAAAUUUUGAUCCAUUUACUUCAUGUAUUUUUUUGCAUGGUAAGAGUAUCAAUUUGUCGCCUCGAGAUUUUGAGUACAUUAUGGGAAUAAAAGAUGGUGGAGUCGACAUUGAUGUGGAUCUUGGUAUUGAUAACAUAGAUAAAUUGAGGGAUGAAUAUUUGGAUGACAGUGGAUACAUUAAGCUGAAAACUUUAGAGUCAAAAUUGGUGAAUCAAAGGGAGGUGAAUGAUGACUUUAAAAGAAGCUUUGUUUUGUUUGCUAUAGCUACAAUUAUUUUUCCUAAAUCGGGGUUGAAUUUAGCCCCGUAUUACUUGGUUUUUUUGAAAGACACCAGUGCCAUAAAUAAAAAAAAUUGGGCAACGUGGGCUUUUAAAGGGCUAGUAGAGGGCAUACAAAAGUUUAAGGCAGGACAACAUAAAGUUGUUAAUGGUUGUGUACUAUUUUUAGAGGUAAUUUUUUUUAAAAUGAUUUCAUCAAUUUUAUUGUGUUAUUUUUUUUUUUACUUUGUUUUGAUCAUUUUGUUAAUAUUGCAGCUUUUUUACAUGGAUUCUAUAUCAUUUGCACGAAAAUUUAUUGAUAAAUCUUUGAGUCCAAUAACUACAUGGACAAAUCGAGAUGUAACUAACUUCUUGAGUUUUGUUAAGAAAAAUGGCGGUUAUGGGAGCUCAAAGGUAUGACAUCUUUUUAUUAAUUAAAUAUUAAUGUAUCAUAUUGAAAUGACAUCUAUACAUCUUUUUAUUAAUUAAAUAUUAAUGUAUCAUAUUGAAAUGACAUGUAUUUAAUAGUAUGUGGUAUUAUUAGGUUAAUUUGCGAGAAAUCCAUCCUCAACAAAACACAGCCCAAGAAACAUUUGAUGGAACGAGUCGGAAGAAUGAAGAAUGCAUACAUAAUUGUCAACAUCAGAAGGAAUUAUCACUUGUUCGAAAAGAUAUUGGCCGUAUGGCAUUGGAGCUUGAUGGUUUAAAGCAUUCAAUGGGUAACUGGAUGCAGCAAAUGCAACAAGUAAUGGAAACCCUUAAAGAGAACUUAACCCAAAAGCAAGUUGAGCAGCAAAAAGAGAAUAAUGGCACUGCUGUUGGAAUUACUUCUCCUUCUCGAAAGCAACAAAAGAACGACGAAUCAAGCCAUGAAAUUUUAACUUUUGCCGAACUAAUGAAGAGAGCCAAAGAAAGGCCAGAUGGAGAUGAUAUUGUUGAGAAAAAAUUAUUGGAUGAGGAGAUUGUUGAAGAGAAAUAUGAUGAAAGAAUUUUGACGGGUGAGUCAGACCUAAAUGAGGGGAAGCGUACGCAAAUUUUCUGCAAUGCAGCUAUACAGGUAUUUAGCAAUAAAUUAUGAUAUUCUUUUUUGCACAAGUAAAACAUAAUAGUGCAUAGAUGAGUAUUAAGUUAUAAAUCAUAAUUUUUGUAGGAUAAUGGCCGAAAUGAGGAUUGUUUUGUUGAAGAGGAAUCAUCAAACCAACUUAGCGUAUUUGAGAUUAAAGAUAUGCGCUCCCGAAAGCGAAAGCCUGGUCCAUACCAAAAAUCACCUUAUAAUCAGUUUCCCAAAAGACGAAGCAAACAAAAAUUUUUUCAUGACUCAAUCACUCUACUAAAUUCAUUUUCAGAGGAAGAUAUGAAGAUGCUGCAAUAUAUAUUUCAAGGAGAAUUGCCUAUGGAGUAAUUAGAUUUUCUCAUGACCCACUUUCCAUAUGUUAUUAUUUUUGCAUUAACACUGUUAUAGUUUUAAUUAUAUUUUUGGAUUCUUAAUGUAGUGAGCAUAUUGUUGAUGGAAUUAGUUUUUUCGUCUCUCGCCAAGAGAUGUUUUCUUUGGCUCCUAAUACUUGGAUCAUUGAUACAGUAAGCAUACCUUCCUUAUAUUUAGUUUAAUCAUUCAAUUUAUUUAUUUUCUUUCUAAAGUAUUUAAGUCUUCUUGUUUAAUGGCUCUAUUCGUAGGUCAUAGAUUGUUUCGUCAACUACUUGACAAACAAAGAACGUGCAAAAACGAGCCUAGAGAUGCGUAUUUGGUAUUUGCCCACCAUCUUUUCGGUAAGUUGUAAAUGUUAUACUGUGAAUUUUUUUACUAACAGUUGACCAUAUAUGUUGAUAAUAUACUAAUUUUGUGUUUAUUUUAUGAUUUUUGCAGCAAAAAAUAGUUGCAAACAUGGCCUGCAAUAAGAAAUCAAGCAUCGAAGACUUUGUCAAAAAUCAUAAUAUUCGAGAUAAAUACAUGUCAGAACUAGCAGUAUGUGAAAAGGUAAGAAAUUAAAUGCAAAAUUACAAUAAAUCAUGCCACUGUUUAAGACAUUUAAUGGUAAUUAUUAAAAAUUAUGCAUUUGUCAUGUAGAUCUAUGUUCCUAUAAAUGAUGGCUCUGCACAUUGGUAUCUAGCGGUGUUGAUUGUUAAAACGCAAACCGUUGAAAUUUGGGACUCUUUACCUAGUACUACUUCGAAUUCACAUCGAGAGGAAAUUGUUAGAGCAAUUGUAAGUGAAGCUUGCAUUUCACCUGUAUUAUUACCAAUAAAUGCAAAUGUAUGCUGACUAUUAUCAUCAUUAUCACAGUUACAGGGACUCGAUGAAGUUUUCCUCGAUGAUUUUUUGGGAAAAUUUCAUUCAUGUUGGGAUUUUUUUAGUUUUAAAAUUUCAUAUCCAGAUAAUGUCCCAGUACAACCAAAUGGAACUGACUGCGGUUUGUUUGUGAUCAAGUUCAUGGAGAUGCAAUGUGAUCUAUUAUCUAUAAAACAUGUAUGUGACAUUAAUUUUAUAUCAUAUUGAUUUAAAGUUUUACAAUGAAUGAUGACUCUGUUUCUCACUUUUUUAUUUUUUCUCGUACUAUAUUUAGUAUAACUCAACAAUAGAAAGAUAUCGCAUUGCACUCCACCUUGUCAACGGAGAUACAAAUAAAGUGAGAGAUAGUAUUAGAUGUAAGGCUGAAGAAUUUUAUGAUUCGCACAAGAAUAAUCUUCCACCGAACAAAGUGACGAACAAAGUUAAUGGUCAAAAGAAUUUGAAGAAGAAAAAGUAGAGUCCAAAAGCUUGCAGCAUGUUAAAAGUAGGUUCUCUUUAACUAUUUCUUUCUUGCUUUUUUUUGCUCCUAUUACAUUUCAUGAUUUGUAUUAGUUAUUUAUUAGUUAUUGCAAUUAUAAUUAUUGUUUCACAUAAAAUUAAUUAGAAACAAUUCCCAAUUUGCAAUUGCGUACCGAGUAUAAGCAUAAUGUGGACUGGAAAUAAUCAAUGUUUUACUGCAAGUUUUCCUUUAUUCUCCAGGUGGCUCACAAUUUCCUCUUCAGUAACAUCUUGUGGGAAGGUGGAUCAUCUUUGUUGGGGAGCAGUAGUAACGAUAGUUCUUUGUUUUACUACCAUUCUAUAAAUUUUAUUUGAAAUUAGCAUUAUUCUUGGUUAUUUAUUUUUAUAAUGAUUCUAAUAUCUUGUUGACUAUUUUUUUAAGAUUUUCUUUUGGAAUUUUUUAGGAUCUGCUAUUGAUUAUUGUGUAAAUUCGAGAUGUGAUUAAAGUUUGAGUAUCAGUGCGUUUUGCUUUGCCCUUUUUCUUUUAAUUGCAGUUGUACCGUCUGUGAGCUUUGCCUUUAUUUGCUUUCAACCACAACACUCCAAUUUUUAUGUAUUAUUUUUUUUUUAUCAUUGUUUGACUCCAAACGAAAUACUCAAGUUAAUGAGCAUAGUUUAUAUUCAUGUUGUUACAGCAACAAAUGAAAUAAAUAUAAUUUUUAACACAAAUAUACCAUAAUAAUUUUACCAUUGACGGAUACAAGCAUAAAUAAUUAAAACAUAUGGUUUCAUUAAAAAAAAUCAAUUGUAAUCACCAUCUCAAUUGUAAUCAUUUUACCAUUGACGGACACAACAAAUUUUCAGUAUCCUGCCUCAUGGUCAAUACUUAUCAUUGUUGUAUAAAAUUGAAUGUGUUAUGAUACUGUGAGCUGUGAGCUGUGAGCUGCCAUCAUCAUUGUCCAAAACUCCAAAAGCUUUUACUACCAUCACUGCCUAAAUUGAAAAACAAGAAGCAAGCAAGGCCUAGUCAAUAAUAAAAAAUAGUUGAGGUUUUACGCAACCAUCAUGACUGUCCAAACUUGCUGCGAUAGCAUGAUAAUAAUCUAAUUAUUUAGAAAAAUAAAAUUGCAAGCAUAAUAGUAACCUAGCUAGAAAAAUAAGACCUAAUAUAAACAAGAUUUCAAACAUUAACCGAGUUAUUUUCAGAACAUUAUCUCAAAUCUAACUCCUACGCACAUGAACACGACACAUUAAUUUGCAACAAAUAAUUUUCAGAACAUUAUAAGAGAAACUAGAGGCAAAACGGGAAAAAAAUUAUAAUUUUAAAAUUACAACCAUAGUAGUAAUCGAUUUAUUUAGGGACAUUGUUAAUAUUUUGACACUGACAAUAAUACUCAACAUGCAAAACAUAAUUAAGGCUGACUUUAUACUUCUGGGGCUGGAUGAGUAUUAUUAAAAUAAAUGGGGUCAUUUGUAAUAUUUUGACUUAAUGGGGACUAAUUUGAAAUUAGCCGUAUUAAAACUUUUGCAACUUGUCUAGAAACGACAGAAUUUAAAUACUUAAUGGGGACUAGUUUGAAAUUUGCCAUAUUAACAACUUUUGCAACUUGUCCAGAAUACGUCUUUUCAUAAUUCAAUAGUUUCAUUCAAAUUGAAAGACUUAAUGGGUACUAAUUUGAAAUUAGCCAUAAUAAAAACUAUUGCAACUUGUCCAGAAUAAGUUGUGAAACGACAGAAUUCAAUAGUUCCAUUCAAUCCUACAAUUUCCUUGCCCAGUUUUUUCUAACGACCACAUAGAACACAAUGAAUGAUGAUCAACAAGGUAAUUCUUCAUUGUCUUUUAAUGAUUUGUUACUGUUGCUAUUAUUUUUUAUGUUAUUUUCUCUCUUGCUAAAAAGAGUAGUGUUGUUUAACCUUUUAAAAUUAAUAUUAAUUGUGUCUAUUAUAAUUUACAGGCUAUUGUCUAGCAGUGCCAUUUAACUUAAUGUAAUAUUUUCUUAUUGUAUUAUGACAGGCAAUAACAAAAAUUACAAAGUGCCAGAGCUUGAUGUUCCAUCAUCAUACGAUAUUCCUUCAACCGCUCAAGCAGAAAUACAAUCAGGUUUUUUAGUUGUUCAUAACAAAACAAUUGAACCAAGUUAUUUUUGUAAUAUUUUGAAUAACAGUAUCAGUUUAUUUUAGUUGUUGAUAAUAAAAUAAUAGAAUUAGACUAUUUUAGCUGUCAAUAAUAAAAUAAUAGUAUCAAUUGAAGUUUGCUACUCAUGAUAAAAAAAUAAUUAUUCAUACUCUAUUAUGACAGGGAGGGAUGGUUCAAACUCUAUUUAUUGGGAUGAUAAAAGCAUGUAUGAACUCACUGCUGAAGAUGUUAUUGGAAAGCGAUUUGCAUCACUUGAAGAAGCUACAGAUUUUUAUAAAAAAUACUCAAAAAUAAUGGGUUUUAGUGUUCGCAUUUAUGAUGGGAGACGUGAUACAAAUGGUGCACCCAUAAUGAAACAUUGGGUUUGCAGUAGAGAAGGUGAAAGGGAUAAAAAGUAUAUUGAGCAUACAAACAGAAUCCGUGAACCUAAAGCUAUUACAAGAGUCAACUGUCGAGCAGCAUUCAGGGUAAAUUUAGAUAAGGAGUCCAAAACUUGGGUUGCUAGAAGCUUUGUUCCGAAACACUCUCAUGAGUUGGCAGCAGAUUUUGAGACUCAAUUUCUUCGAUCUCAUCGAAUGGUUAAAGAUUCUGACAAUGCUCUAGCUAAUUCAAUGCAAACAGUUGGUAUAAAGACAAGUCAGAUUAUGGACUUCUUUGUCAACCAGGCUGGGGGUUAUGACAAUUUGGGCUUCGGAUUAAAGGAUUUAUAUAACAAUUUAGAUAAUAAACGUCGAUCCAUGAUACUCGAAACAGACUCAGAAGCUGCACUUGCAUACUUAAAUGCAAAAGCUGACAUGGAUCCAGAUUUCUUUUGUAAGUACUCUAUAGAUGAGGAGAAUAGACUUGCAAACUUAUUCUGGGCAGAUUCUAUUGCUCGCUUGGAUUAUAGUUACUUCGGCGAUGUUUUGGCUUUUGAUAGUACUUACAAGACAAAUGAGUAUGGGAAGCCUUUAGUUAUUCUAUUGGGUGUUAAUAAUCAUUAUGCAACAAGUUUUUUUGGCUGUGCAAUUCUCACGGAUGAGACGGUUGAGACCUACACAUGGGUGCUUAAAACAUUUUUAUGUGCUAUGAAUAAUAGAAAGCCUAUAUCUAUUGUGACCGAUGGAGAUAGAGCGAUGCGUAAAGCAAUUAAAAAGGUAGUUCCUGAAGCUCGGCAUCGACUGUGUAUUUGGCAUCUACAAAGAAAUGCACAAUCUAAUGUACAUAAAACGCCUGAAUUUGUUACAAGGUUUAAGGAUUUUCUGUUGGGAAAUUACAGACCCGAAGAAUUUGAGCAAUUGUGGCAGAACAUGGUGGAAGAGCUUGGUCUUCAAAAUAAUGAUUGGGUUAAGAAGAUAUACUCAAAACGAGAGAGAUGGGCAGAAGCAUUCUUACGGGGUCAUUUCUUUGGUGGCAUGCGCACAACACAGCGUUGUGAGGGUAUGAAUGCAUAUAUGAAUAGAUUUCUUCAAAGAAAGUUGAAGUUGCAUGAAUUUGUUCGUCAAAUUGAUCGAGCCUUGAGACGUACAAGGAAUAACAAUUUAGGACAUAAUUUUAAAACUAAGCAUUCUAUUCCAAUGAUUAGUACUCAUCUUCCAAGCUUGGAGAAGCAUGCUGCAGGGGUUUACACUCAAAAGUUAUUUUACAAGGUUCGUAAACAGAUUUACAAAGAAGGUCAGUUUAUAUUGUUGAGCAAUGUCACUCUUCUAGAUAUUGAAGUGUACACAUUAACUAGGCAUUUAGAAGCCAAAAAGAAGUGGACUGUGGUUUAUUAUCUAAAAGAACAACAUUUUGAGUGCUCCUGUAAGAAGUUCGAAUCUAUUGGAAUACCAUGCCCUCACUUAUUUUGUGUGAUGAAACAUAUGCAUGUUAGUGAGAUACCUGCUUCAUUGAUUAACAAAAGAUGGACUAUGGAUGUGAAAGUUUACAAACAAUCUCUAAUGCCAUUGGAAAGUCAAUCUAAGGAUGUUCUUAACAAUUUUCGGUAUGGGUCAUUAAAUGCCGAAUUCAAUGAAAUUAGUUUUUAUGCCUCAAAAUCUGAUGCUACCUAUUGGAAAUUAAAAAGUCAUCUUGCUCAACUGAAGAGUGAGAUAAAGGAGUUGAGAAUGUGUGACAACGGAGAUACAGAUAGACCAUGCAGUGCAGAAAAGAAAGCAAGAAUUGUAAAAGAUCCUCUAGUUGUGAAGACAAAGGGUGCACCCAGUACGAAAUUUAACAAAGGUGUCAACACAAGAAAAUGUGGAUAUUGCAAACAAGAUGGACAUACUGCACGGAAAUGCCCAAGUAAGAACGGCCAUGUUACAAGUGUGGACAACUUCGCUGGACCAUUAAACAGCUUCACAAAAUUUAUUUGGUAUGGGAAAAUAGGUCAUUAUUUCUAUAAUUUUUUUUUAGUCCAAAUCAAUGUGUUGUAUCAAUAAUUUUGUUCAAAUUUUCUGCAGAUUAUAUCCUAAGGAGGCUACCUCACUUGCGUCAAUGCACACAAAAUUAUCCUAAAAUAAUCUGCAUAUGCCUGAGGGUGUGGAUUUGGACAAGCUAUUUGCAUUUGAAGAAAACACAAUUUUGACCAAGUAUUUUUUAGACUAUAGUUAUGGCCAUGUGAUGUAGUCUUAUAUUUUAAUGCAUUUUUGGUUAUAAUAAUAAUGAAUAUUAUACCUCUCAUGAACCUAUUACUUUCUCCUACUUUGAUGACAAUGAAAUAUGACAGGAACCUCGAACAAUGUAAUAUUCAUGAAAUUUUAAGCUUACAAAAAAGGGCCUAACAAUGACAUUCUAAAUCUUAACACAUCAAUUGAUCUUAUUUCCUAAGAACUGCUACGUGCAUCGAUUAGGUAUCCUAGGACGUUUAUACAUCACUAAUAAACUAGUAAACCAUACCACAGUUACAAUGUAAUACUCUUUCUUACCUUGCUGAUUAGAAACUUCAGCGGCCAAAUGCCAACUACAUCAACUUUUGCUUCCCCAUAGCUGAGUGAAAUUCUUGUAGUUCCUGAAUCCAAAAUACAAGUAAGAGAAAUCAGUGCAGAUGUUUAUUUAUCUUGAAAUUCCUUUGAAACUGAGGCCCAAAGAGAAGCUAGAAUAAACAGUCAUGCAGGUUUUCUAUUUUAGGAAAAAAAAAGGAAAUUCUUUCUGUAGUAUACUUAUUAAGCAAGAUAACAUAAACCAUGAAUUACAAAAGCUGCCAACAAUUAGAAUAGGCGACCAAAUGGAAUUAAAAAUACGGGCACACUGUGUACAGAAAUUCUGCAGGAUACAAGGCCAAUAUAAUUUACGAUUUAUACCAAACUCAAUUGGCCAAACCUAUGGAAUUGGAAUGAUGCAUUUAUUUAACUCAAAAGGUAAAUAUCAGGCUUAAGGUUCUUACAUAUUAAAACAAUAAUAAUUCAUUCAUUUUGAACAUGAGAUGCAACUUGGACUAUUUCAAGUUAUUCCAAAAGAAAGCAUUAAAAGGAAUUUGUUCAUCCUACGUGGUAUAAGUAGUAUAUUUCAGUUAGUAUUAUACAUCAUCAGUUAAAUCAUUUGGACUAUUAACAUUGAUAACAACAAUAAUAAAAUAAACAUAUGUAGUUAUAAAAUAAAUAGAUAAAUUCAACUUCGGAUAAAUUUGGGUUGUUACAGUAACCCUCCAAGCCACCACUGUAUUAUAACCAAUAGACAUUUGAAUUAUAACAGAUAGACAAGAAUAAAAUGAAAGCCAAUAUUAUUCAUGCAGAAUUAAUCUAAUUUAUUUUUCAGUUAAGGUUAGUAACAAUUUAUCUGUAAAUAACUGAACCAACUUGGUUAUUACAACAUUACUUUUUCAAAGCGUUUAGAGCUCAGAAUAUCAAGACAACAAUUUGGUGGUUGGUUAAUUGAGUACCGGAAUCAGAGAUUUUUACUGCAAGAAUGCAAUUGUAAACACCACACAGUAAGUUUUCAAGGCAUCCAGCAUAUUAACUCAAAAAACCAAAUUCUCAUUACCUGUCUAACCCACCAAUUUUCUGCAUAGGCAAUGGAAAUCAGAAUACUUUAUAAUGUAUUCAGUAAUUGAAGUACCUCUGAUUAUUGUUUCCAACAGAACAAGGUAAAUCAUGUUGGCAAGAAUGCCUGAAAGUUUAUCUAAAUAACUAUCACUUGCUCCUCGCAAAACAAACAUCAAGCAUGGCCUGUUGGAACAUUUAUCCUUUUUGGUCUAAGGGUGUUGGGUUAGUUGACUCAAUUUUCCCCUUUUUGGUCACACAACAUCAAUAAUUUAAGCUCUAAAAUUGUUCUGAAGCACCGCAGCAUUCUAGUUCUGCUUGCUUAUUAAACAACAAUAAUGGACUCCUGUACAUACAUUUAAAACCAAAACUAAAUUCAAGAAUGCCAUAAGAACUGUUAAACAGAAAGUUUACCCACAAGGGUAAAUGGCCUACACGAUAUAGAAGAUAAAGGAGACAGAAACACUUGUAAUUACGAUGAGAAACAAAAACACUGAGGUUGAAAUUUAUUUACCUCAACAUUAAGGCCUUUCUUUUUGCAAAGCACUUUAAGAGCAACGUUGCACCUAAUGCCCUUUAGGCUGAAGUGUUCUAUAGUUGCUGAAGUAGAGUGUACCAGGAUAUCAGGCUCAGCAUCUUGAAAAUCUUGCAAACUAACAGGGGACUGCACAUAUUCGAAGGAUACAAAAUUUCAAUCUAAGGGGGCUGAAUCUCGUACAUUGCACUGUUAUUGAAAGAAAUGAACUCAUAUUUAUGUCAUAUAAAUGCAUAUAUGUCGUGAUUGGAGGAGAGAACAUUCUAGAACAAUUGCUACUUAAUACCUUUUCAUUAUCUUUAUCUGAGUUCCAGUUCACAGUAAGAUCUAAUUAUCCAAUCUUCCUCAUAUCAAGUUUGUCAACUUGUAUGAGUCAAUCU